rnacentral:rRNA from 1 species
UACGAAGGGGCUAGCGUUGUUCGGAAUCACUGGGCGUAAAGCGCACGUAGGCGGAUCUUUAAGUCAGGGGUGAAAUCCCGAGGCUCAACCUCGGAACUGCCUUUGAUACUGGGGAUCUCGAGUCCGGGAGAGGUGAGUGGAACUGCGAGUGUAGAGGUGAAAUUCGUAGAUAUUCGCAAGAACACCAGUGGCGAAGGCGGACUCACUGGCCCGGUACUGACGCUGAGGUGCGGAAAGC